rnacentral:rRNA from 1 species
CAGUCGCCGCGGUAAUACGAAGGGGGCUAGCGUUGUUCGGAUUUACUGGGCGUAAAGCGCACGUAGGCGGAUCCUUAAGUCAGAGGUGAAAUCCCAAGGCUCAACCUUGGAACUGCCUUUGAUACUGGGGAUCUCGAGUUCGGGAGAGGUGAGUGGAACUGCGAGUGUAGAGGUGAAAUUCGUAGAUAUUCGCAAGAACACCAGUGGCGAAGGCGGCUCACUGGCCCGAUACUGACGCUGAGGUGCGAAAGCGUGGGGAGCAAACAGGAUUAGAUACCCCCGUAGUCCCUGUCUCUUAUAC